rnacentral:ncRNA from 1 species
UUGUCUGGAUGGGGGUGCCCUGAUGUCAAUGGGCUGAGAGUGGUAACACAACCCCUGAGUCGUGAAAGACUCGCAACCUGAUCCGGUUAAUACCGGCGGAGGGAAUUCCGGACCGUGCCGA